rnacentral:rRNA from 1 species
AUUGAACGCUGGCGGCAUGCCUUACACAUGCAAGUCGAACGGCAGCAUGAUCUAGCUUGCUCGAUUGAUGGCGAGUGGCGCACGGGUGAGUCAUACAUCGGAACGUGCCCUGUAGUGGGGGAUAACUAGUCGAAAGAUUAGCUAAUACCGCAUACGACCUGAGGGUGAAAGUGGGGGACCGCAAGGCCUCAUGCUAUAGGAGCGGCCGAUGUCUGAUUAGCUAGUUGGUGAGGUAAAGGCUCACCAAGGCGACGAUCAGUAGCUGGUCUGAGAGGACGAUCAGCCACACUGGGACUGAGACACGGCCCAGACUCCUACGGGAGGCAGCAGUGGGGAAUUUUGGACAAUGGGCGAAAGCCUGAUCCAGCAAUGCCGCGUGUGUGAAGAAGGCCUUCGGGUUGUAAAGCACUUUUGUCCGGAAAGAAAUGGCUCUGGUUAAUACCUGGGGUCGAUGACGGUACCGGAAGAAUAAGGACCGGCUAACUACGUG